rfam:Schistosoma margrebowiei strain Zambia genome assembly, scaffold: SMRZ_contig0000556
AUCCAGCUGACGAGUCCCAUAUAGGACGAAAUGUGCGCCCUGGAU